rnacentral:rRNA from 1 species
AGAGUUUGAUCCUGGCUCAGGACGAACGCUGGCGGCGUGCCUAAUACAUGCAAGUCGAGCGAGCUUGCCUAGAUGAUUUUAGUGCUUGCACUAAAUGAAACUAGAUACAAGCGAGCGGCGGACGGGUGAGUAACACGUGGGUAACCUGCCCAAGAGACUGGGAUAACACCUGGAAACAGAUGCUAAUACCGGAUAACAACACUAGACGCAUGUCUAGAGUUUGAAAGAUGGUUCUGCUAUCACUCUUGGAUGGACCUGCGGUGCAUUAGCUAGUUGGUAAGGUAACGGCUUACCAAGGCAAUGAUGCAUAGCCGAGUUGAGAGACUGAUCGGCCACAUUGGGACUGAGACAGGGCCCAAACUCCUACGGGAGGCAGCAGUAGGGAAUCUUCCACAAUGGACGAAAGUCUGAUGGAGCAACGCCGCGUGAGUGAAGAAGGGUUUCGGCUCGUAAAGCUCUGUUGGUAGUGAAGAAAGAUAGAGGUAGUAACUGGCCUUUAUUUGACGGUAAUUACUUAGAAAGUCACGGCUAACUACGUGCCAGCAGCCGCGGUAAUACGUAGGUGGCAAGCGUUGUCCGGAUUUAUUGGGCGUAAAGCGAGUGCAGGCGGUUCAAUAAGUCUGAUGUGAAAGCCUUCGGCUCAACCGGAGAAUUGCAUCAGAAACUGUUGAACUUGAGUGCAGAAGAGGAGAGUGGAACUCCAUGUGUAGCGGUGGAAUGCGUAGAUAUAUGGAAGAACACCAGUGGCGAAGGCGGCUCUCUGGUCUGCAACUGACGCUGAGGCUCGAAAGCAUGGGUAGCGAACAGGAUUAGAUACCCUGGUAGUCCAUGCCGUAAACGAUGAG